CUUUCCUCACUCCCUACAGUUCUGUUUGAUGCACCCACCACUCAUAUCUCGCCUUCAUCGCAGUGGCAGCUCCCGUCGCUAUUGCAAUGUCGCACUCUUCCUCACUGGACCUUUAACUCUCCUUUUCCUGUCAGCGCUCUCCUUCUGUGGUGCGUUUGUUGAGUCUGCCUGUUGUGGAAUGUAUGAACGUUAUUUCAAUUUUCGCAAGUCCUCCGCCAGAAAUUUACACUUUAGCUUGCUUGCACUCGCUAAAUUUCGUGCAAGUAGGUGUUUUCUGGAUGUAUGAGGGAAUUACUACUUCCGAGCUGCCGGGAUUCUUUCAGUACAGACUUGUGACUGGAUUGUAGAAGGCGAGUGCACAAGUUACACGUUUGGAAAAAUAUCGACGAUUUAUAUUUACGUUUUUUCGAUUGCAGUGAGUCGAUCUCGUUGCCAUUGAAGGGUAUGCUGACGUGAAGGAGCCAUUAUACUUUGCAUGAUGUUUUAGUGCACAUAUUUGCAAAAAGCGGCAGUUUCUUUCUAAGCUGUUGCGUUGACGCACAAUUGAGCUUAGGUAUGUUUGCUGGGCCUGAUUAGCAGUUGAAUUAUGCUUGUCGGGGAAGAAAAGCAGAUAAUACCUGGCAACUGCAUAGGAAAAAAUGUGAGUGCAGUUUGUGCGGUUAUGAGUGCGUACUCGCGUAGGAAUGUUUGUUGCAGAUAAGUUCAAUUCUCCUGUGAUAGCACUAUGCAUUGCGGGAGCGGACAGGUUGGUGGCAAAUGGAAAAGAGGAUGUUACUUAAUGAGGGAGGCGCAUCCUUUACAGCUUGUCACAAAAUCUUGAAAGCUUAGUAAUACUUCUCAACCAAUUCAUUUACAUUUCUCAAGCUGGACUACUCUCUCCAGAGUAGGGAUGCUGAUGUUCCCGCAUGUAGCCCUCGUUUUAGCGACAGACUUGAGAUAGAAGGAGUGUACAAGAUACUCCAAAGAUGAAAUCUACAGAUAGAGAAUCUUAUCAUGAUUCCAUUGAAAGGAUAAAGAGUACGAAGGCAGACUGAUUGCAGUCCAUAGCAAAACUCUGUUUAAGUGAAAUUUCUGUAGCGGCUAUGGUGCAUAAUCUCUGCCAAGGAUUUGACGCUGAGACUUGCAUGACCGUGAUAAGAAAUUUGACGGGAUAAUUAUUUUGCAAUGUUGGAUUCAUAGCGAUCUAAUUUUAAAACAAGAGAGUAUUAUGCUUUACAUGAAGGGUAGCCACCGAGAUGAAAGCUUAACAACUCCCACAACCAAGAGCUUGAUAGUUUUUUCAAUAUUGUUCAUGAGUUCAUUUAAGAAAAUGUAGAAUUAUUAGUGGUUUUAAAGAAAGUUGGGCGUGAACUUGGCGACGAGUCAGUGCCAGCUAGAGGCCGUAAGGAGGCUUCACAAUACCCUCGAUUCGGAACGGGACUGCUUGGAACGGAGUUAGUGCCAGACAGCUGCAGGUACUGCAUUGUUGUACCAUGUGAUUCUCGAUCCUGUGGCAGAAGUUUUCGCUGGAGACGUGUUGCUCAAAGGAUUGCAGGAGAAAGUGCAUCGUGACCAGGACAAGAACGCACGGGAAACCGCUGGUGUGAUGCUGGCCGUGAGGACUCUCUGGUUUGAUGCCCGCCUCGAAGGAACACUUGCCCAAUUUGACUCUAAGCCGACUGGAUAACAGGUUGUCCUCUUAGGUGCUGGAAUGGACGCCCGCGCAUAUCGACUUCGUUCAAUUAAAGAUUGUUCCGUGUUUGAAGUGGACUCUGCGAAAGUGAUGCACUUUAAGGAGUCCAUAUUCCAGGCAAUGGUGGAAGCGGGAGAGCACUUACCCAUGCUUGAGGCAAAAAGCUUAAACAGAGUGGCUGACAUCGCCACUGAAGAUUGGUUUAACAGACGGAAAGCUACUGGCUUCAAGGCGCAUCUACCCACAGUUUGGAUUUUGGAAGGGUUUUUGUACUACCUGCAAGAAUCCCGUGCAACAGAGACCUUGAGGUGCAUUUCUCAGAAUUGCUUGAACGAGACGGUGAUGAUGGCCGACUUCAUGAACGAGUCUUCUACCCACUUACCCAUGAGCUGAAGACUCAUUUCUAUUUUCACAGUGAUUGGCCAGAGGAUCUCCUGUCUAAGCUUCGGUUCUCUCGAGUAAAGGUCUCACAAAUUGGUGACCCCGAUGCUAACUUCGGACUCGUGAAUGACGAGCUCAACCUUUUCCACCAAAUUCGUCGUGUCUCCAGGCAUGCGAAGGCAGAUGUUAAUGGCAAGCCUUACAGAAGGCUACUUCUCGUUGAAAGCUGGGCGCCGUGAUUUCUCCUCCCACUCGUCUAUAAUGAGAGCUCUAUGAAGCUGGCUCACUUUAAUGGUUGCAUUUCCGCCAAGUGUUCUCCACAACCACAAGAGGAGAUCUUCACAGCCUGUGGCGGGCAGAGUCUGGGAUUGAUUAAAUUGCGUGAUUAUCAUGCAAAAGAUGGACCUGUUUUGGUUGUCACUCGCCCUGGCCAGAGUCAAGGUAAAAGUGAUAUUCUGAAAACGAAAUCUCGGUUGUAUCAAUGAAAAUCAUAGAAGUUGAAGUCCCAGCAUUCUUGAACAAUGUAAAAAUAAAAUUGUCUUGAUGCAUUCCCCUGAAGGUGGCACAAUGGUCAUUCUGGAGACUAUCCUGUCACGAACUAUGUUACCAAGACUCUAACCGACCCCGACUCUCGAAUGACAUAGUCACUGACAAACCAGUCACUACAAUGACCAAACCCAUCUGAAUGCUAAAAUCGA